GACAGGUGCUGCAUGGCCGUCGUCAGCUCGUGUUGUGAAAUGUUGGGUUAAGUCCCGCAACGAGCGCAACCCUUAUCCUUUGUUGCCAGCGAUUCGGUCGGGAACUCAAAGGAGACUGCCAGUGAUAAACUGGAGGAAGGUGGGGAUGACGUCAAGUCAUCAUGGCCCUUACGAGUAGGGCUACACACGUGCUACAAUGGCAUAUACAAAGAGAAGCGACCUCGCGAGAGCAAGCGGACCUCAUAAAGUAUGUCGUAGUCCGGAUUGGAGUCUGCAACUCGACUCCAUGAAGUGGGAAUCGCUAGUAAUCGUGGAUCAGAAUGCCACGGUGAAUACGUUCCCGGGCCUUGUACACACCGCCCGUCACACCAUGGGAGUGGGUUGCAAAAGAAGUAGGUAGCUUAACCUUCGGGAGGGCGCUUACCACUUUGUGAUUCAUG
rnacentral:rRNA from 1 species